AGCGUAGGUGGCCUAACAUGUCAACUGUGAAAACCCGGAGCUCAACUCCGGACUUGCAGUUGAAACUGGUAGGCUUGAGGACGGUAGAGGAAGACGGAACUGCCAGUGUAGGGGUAAAAUCCUUAGAUAUUGGCAGGAACGCCGGUGACGAAAGGUGGUUUUCUGGGCCGGGUUCUGACACUGAUGCUCGAAAAGCCAGGGGAGCGAACG
rnacentral:rRNA from 1 species